UUCGUCCUUGUCUUUGGGGAGCAAAGUAUUCAAUGAUCGUAUAGUGAGGGUACUGUUGCUGAAAACCAUUAAACAUUAACCGCAUCCGUGUAUGACGUUUGUCUAACGCGCGAUGCAAUUUUUGGACGG